rnacentral:lncRNA from 1 species
GCUGAAAGUUGGGACUGUUUCGUCUUUAAGUUCCUUGUGUAACAUUUUCCUGGAAAGAGAAAAGGAAAUAUUUUGAUAAUACAGGCUGCAUCAAUUUGAUCCAUUAAACUGCACUGUUCGUUCGUAAGUUAUGAUGAUGUGAUAGCAGGAAUACGCAGAUGAUACUAUUCUUCAAUGAGAUAGUUUCACUAUUCAGAAGAUAGGGUUUUAUGUCAAUCGUUUCGUAAGUUAUGAUGAUGUGAUAGCAGAAUACACAGAUGAUACUAUUCUUCAAUGAGAUAGUUUCCGGAGCAUUCACUAUUCAGAAGAUAGGGUUUUAUGUAAAUCGAUUCCUGUUGACGUGAUGAAUCAGGUCCACUGGUUUAAU